rnacentral:tRNA from 1 species
GGGGUUGUGGCUCAGUGGUAGAGUGCUGGCGAGGCCCUGGGUUCGAUCCUCAGCACCACA